rnacentral:misc_RNA from 1 species
UCUCCGUAGGUGAACCUGCGGAGGGAUCAUUACAGAGUUCAUGCCCUCCGGGUAGAUCUCCCACCCAUUGCUAUGACUACUCUCGUUGCUUUGGCGGGCCGCUGGGCCCUGCCCGGCCGCCGGCCCCGGCUGGCGCGUGCCCGCCAGAGACCUCACAAACUCUGAAUGUUAGUGUCGUCCGAGUAACUAUACAAUCGUUAAAACUUUCAACAACGGAUCUCUUGGUUCUG